AUGAACGCUAGCUACAGGCUUAACACAUGCAAGUCGAGGGGCAGCAUUUUAGUUUGCUUGCAAACUGAAGAUGGCGACCGGCGCACGGGUGAGUAACACGUAUCCAACCUGCCGAUAACUCCGGAAUAGCCUUUCGAAAGAAAGAUUAAUACCGGAUAGUAUACGAAUAUCGCAUGAUAUUUUUAUUAAAGAAUUUCGGUUAUCGAUGGGGAUGCGUUCCAUUAGUUUGUUGGCGGGGUAACGGCCCACCAAGACUACGAUGGAUAGGGGUUCUGAGAGGAAGGUCCCCCACAUUGGAACUGAGACACGGUCCAAACUCCUACGGGAGGCAGCAGUGAGGAAUAUUGGUCAAUGGGCGAGAGCCUGAACCAGCCAAGUAGCGUGAAGGAUGAAGGCUCUAUGGGUCGUAAACUUCUUUUAUAUGGGAAUAAAGUUUUCCACGUGUGGAAUUUUGUAUGUACCAUAUGAAUAAGGAUCGGCUAACUCCGUGCCAGCAGCCGCGGUAAUACGGAGGAUCCGAGCGUUAUCCGGAUUUAUUGGGUUUAAAGGGAGCGUAGGUGGAUUGUUAAGUCAGUUGUGAAAGUUUGCGGCUCAACCGUAAAAUUGCAGUUGAAACUGGGAGUCUUGAGUACAGUAGAGGUGGGCGGAAUUCGUGGUGUAGCGGUGAAAUGCUUAGAUAUCACGAAGAACUCCGAUUGCGAAGGCAGCUCACUAGACUAUCACUGACACUGAUGCUCGAAAGUGUGGGUAUCAAACAGGAUUAGAUACCCUGGUAGUCCACACAGUAAACGAUGAAUACUCGCUGUUUGCGAUAUACAGUAAGCGGCCAAGCGAAAGCAUUAAGUAUUCCACCUGGGGAGUACGCCGGCAACGGUGAAACUCAAAGGAAUUGACGGGGGCCCGCACAAGCGGAGGAACAUGUGGUUUAAUUCGAUGAUACGCGAGGAACCUUACCCGGGCUUAAAUUGCAACAGAAUAUAUUGGAAACAGUAUAGCCGUAAGGCUGUUGUGAAGGUGCUGCAUGGUUGUCGUCAGCUCGUGCCGUGAGGUGUCGGCUUAAGUGCCAUAACGAGCGCAACCCUUAUCUUUAGUUACUAACAGGUCAUGCUGAGGACUCUAGAGAGACUGCCGUCGUAAGAUGUGAGGAAGGUGGGGAUGACGUCAAAUCAGCACGGCCCUUACGUCCGGGGCUACACACGUGUUACAAUGGGGGGUACAGAAGGCGGCUACCUGGUGACAGGAUGCUAAUCCCAAAAACCUCUCUCAGUUCGGAUCGAAGUCUGCAACCCGACUUCGUGAAGCUGGAUUCGCUAGUAAUCGCGCAUCAGCCACGGCGCGGUGAAUACGUUCCCGGGCCUUGUACACACCGCCCGUCAAGCCAUGAAAGCCGGGGGUACCUGAAGUACGUAACCGCAAGGAGCGUCCUAGGGUAAAACUGGUAAUUGGGGCU
rnacentral:rRNA from 1 species